rnacentral:lncRNA from 10 species
AAAACCUCCCCACAGAUGCCUGAACUAAGGAAGUGGACAGCCUUAGGAGACAAGCAUUUGCUGGAAGAGACGUUUCUCUUAAUUUACAUGAGACUAUCUUCUGGCCUACUUAAUGUGAAGACAGCAAGGAUGAAGAUGUAUAUGAAGACUCACUUCCAUUUAAUGAAUAAAACAAAGACAUUAUGACAAAACCUGAACAGCAACCAUAUCUGAAUUCCUCUUAGAUUGUGAGACCUCGACUUGUCAUCAUUUAAACAUUGUGAAAUCCAAUAAUUAGGAAGCAUAGACUUUGUCUCUUAUUUUAUUUGUACCCACAUUGUCAUUUGGUGUAAUCUGCAGGUGAGGCUCAUGUUAGAUACUUGAGGCAAGAAUUUG